UGGGUCUGCGUCUGAUUAGCUAGUUGGUGGGGCAACGGCCUACCAAGGCGACGAUCAGUAGCCGGGUCUCGAGAGGAUGAACGGCCACAUUGGAACUGAGACACGGGUCCAGACUCCUACGGGAGGCAGCAGUGGGGAAUCUUCCGGCAAUGGGCGAAAGCCUGACGGAGCAACGCCGCGUGAGUGAAGAAGGCCUUCGGGUCGUAAAGCUCUGUUGUCGGGACGAAUGUACGAACUAUCAACAACGGUUCGUAAUGACAGUACCUGACGAGGAAGCCACGGCUAACUACGUGCC
rnacentral:rRNA from 1 species